CAACUGCAAUUGGUGGAUCACU
rnacentral:rRNA from 1 species